AAGGAGGAGACUUCGACCGGAUGACCCCAGACAGCUUCAGACUCGUUGCAGAGAGACAAGUCAGGAGAGGUCUUGGACCGUUAUUCCAACCAGCAUCUGAUGUGGAAGGAUCCCCACAGGAGAUCACCUUGCAUGUGUCCUGGUACUUGUCGGGCAGGAUCACGAGGGAAAGAACUUCAGUUCACUGACAAAGUCAUAGUUUUUACUCUUCAAACAGAAAUGUAUUAACAUUAAAUUCUGUUCAUACCUAC